GAUCCUGGCUCAGGAUGAACGCUAGCUACAGGCUUAACACAUGCAAGUCGCGGGGCAGCAUGAAGGAUGCUUGCAUCCUUUGAUGGCGACCGGCGCACGGGUGAGUAACGCGUAUCCAACCUGCCUGUUACCACGGCACAGCCCGUCGAAAGGCGGAUUAAUGCCGUAUGUGGUCUUGAAAGGGCAUCUGAUCAUGACUAAAGGUUCAGCGGUAACGGAUGGGGAUGCG
rnacentral:rRNA from 1 species